UACAGAGGGUGCGAGCGUUAAUCGGAAUUACUGGGCGUAAAGGGCGCGUAGGCGGAUAGAUAAGUUAGAUGUGAAAUCCCUGGGCUUAACCUGGGAAUGGCAUUUAAGACUGUAUGUCUAGAGUAGAGUAGAGGGAAGUGGAAUUUCCGGUGUAGCGGUGAAAUGCGUAGAGAUCGGAAAGAACACCAGUGGCGAAGGCGGCUUCCUGGACUCAUACUGACGCUGAGGCGCGAAAGCGUGGGGAGCAAACAGG
rnacentral:rRNA from 1 species